rnacentral:rRNA from 1 species
CAGUAGCCGCGGUAAUACGUUGGGUGCGAGCGUUAAUCGGAAUUACUGGGCGUAAAGCGUGCUCAGGCGGUUCGUUAAGACAGAUGUGAAAUCCCCGGGCUUAACCUGGGAACUGCAUUUGUGACUGGCGAGCUAGAGUAUGGCAGAGGGGGGUAGAAUUCCACAUGUAGCAGUGAAAUGCGUAGAGAUGUGGAGGAAUACCGAUGGCGAAGGCAGCCCCCUGGGCCAAUACUGACGCUCAUGCACGAAAGCGUGGGGAGCAAACAGGAUUAGAUACCCCAGUAGUCCCUGUCUCUUAUUC